rnacentral:rRNA from 1 species
NNNNNNNNNAAUGAGGACUAGUAUGAAUGGNCCCACGAGCGGUACGCUGUCUCCUUUUUCUAAUCAAUGAAACUAAUCUUCUCGUGAAGAAGCGAGAAUAAUUUUAUAAGACGAGAAGACCCUAUGGAGCUUUAAAUAACUGAAAAAUUUGCACAUCCAAUUUUUAUCUUCCGAGCUCCCACUCUCUGAGCAUUUUUAUUUCUAAUUUUAGGUUGGGGCGACCACGGAGCAAAAUUAAACCUCCACGACGAAGGAGACUCCUUCUCUUAGCUAAAAGCUACUCCUUUAAGCAUCAGCAAACUGACUUCUUUUGACCCAAUAAAUUGAUCAACGAACCAAGUUACCCUAGGGAUAACAGCGCAAUCUACUUCAAGAGCUCAUAUCGACAAGUAGGUUUACGACCUCGAUGUUGGAUCAGGGUAUCCUAGUGGUGCAGCCGCUACUAAUGGUUCGUUUGNN